CGACGGAGCAGGGUGCUACACUUCUGCAUCGCAUGGAGGAUAUAUUACCACAAAUGCCUCAAGUGUGACAGAAAUACUAGAGUCUUCCUGAAGAGAUAUUACCCAGGUUUGCUAUCACAAGUCUGUCCAGCUCAGAGCAACCUAAAGAAACUCAGCCCUCCUCCAGACACCCGUAUUUAGAAUUAGAACUAGAAUAAAAGGAAACAUCAGCCGCGACAGACAAGAUCUACCAGAACCACAUCCAUAUAAACCUGCUUUCCACCUAAACCAUGAGAUUCAGCAGGACAAUAUCAGCAGGGCAAAUAUGAAGUGCCCAGUUAAGCUGCUUCUUAAUGACAACCUGGAUCUUGAGAGAAAAAAAAAGCUUCCAUACUAACCUAAAGUUGAGCCCACCUUUCUGGGAUCCAGAAAUAAUGCAUAAAGGUACAGAGAGCAAAGCAGCUGAUUCAAACAGAAGAAACAUCUGGAGGCCUGCGGGUGUGAUGAGGUGAAGAGGCCAAAGCAGGAAAGUAAAGACAACCAUUUUGGCCUGUCUUCAUUCACUGCAGCUUAAAUUUAUCCCUUGCAGCAAACGAACACUGGAAGCGUAUGUGUGUCAUUGUACUAAUAGAUGUGGAUGUCUCUAAAUAACAUGGAAACACAGACCUGAUGUUGGGCUGGAAGAAAGUUUGGUAUUUGUCUGAAAAGUUUAGCCUUUUUUUGUACAUCUUUUUUUUUCCAGGUCAGUAAACCUUCAAAACCAGGACAAUUAUUAUUCAAUAAUGGUGGAUUCUUACCUUUUCACAGGGUCUCUUUAAUAUUGUCUGAAAAGGUUUUAAUGAAAAUUUUAAUUUCUAUUAAAUAUACAUUUUCAGUUUGCUUUUUUUGCUUCAUAAUAUCAUCCAUCUUCAGUACAGAUGCCCCUUUAAUGUUUACUAAGUUCAGGAUUAUAACCAGUAGUUCACAUAUUGUAUGUUUAAUGACGGGUUUAUAUGAUUUUAUAAUGUAUUCAAGUUUAAGUUAACUUUUUUACCAUAACAGGUCAGUUAAUCUUAUUUGAAGGUUUUGUAAUUACAUUGUAAGCAUAAAAUUAAAGCCAUACCACAUAAUUAAAUCUGAACUUUGACUAGAUCAUUCCAAAACCUUCAACUAACAUUUAAACCCAUUCAGAGGGGGAUAAGGUUGUUACAAAUACUCUACUUGUUUUAUGAAGAAAAUGUAAGAUCACAUUUUUACCCAGUCUUUUACUUGUUAUUGAAUUAUAAACAAUGACCUUGAUUGAGGUCAUUUGCAGCAUGCAGCUCAUUAAAUGUUGUUUGGGGCUCUUGGAAAUUGUUAAUAAUGUUAGUUGACAGACGCAUGAUUGUUUCAUGUAUUUAGUAAUCGGCUGAUAUAAGCAGACUGGGAUUCAAUGAGGCAGAAAAUAUUUGGAAAUGGAUUUAUAACUAUUUCCAAACUGCUGGAUUUCAAUUAAUUUGUCUUGUCUAUAAAUGAGGAAUGAUGUGCCAACUUUUAUUCAUUUUCACCUACUUCAUGUUGAUCCAAUUCUUAAAGUUUUAUUCUGACUGUACAGUUCUGGAAUCAGUCAUCCAGAUGUGUUGGAAGU